rnacentral:rRNA from 1 species
UACGUAGGGCCUAGCGUUGUCCGGAUUAUUGGGCGUAAAGAGCUCGUAGGCGGUUCGGCAAGUCGGAUGUGAAUCUCCACGCUCAACGUGGAGGGCCAUUCGAAACUGCCGUGACUCGAGUCCGGUAGGGAGUGUGGAAUUCCGGUGUAGCGGUGAAAUGCGCAGAUAUCGGGAGGAACACCAGAGCGAAGGCGGCCACUCUGGGCCGGUACUGACGCUGAGGAGCGAAGCGUGGGAGCA